GCUCUUAUGAUGGAAUGGUGAGCACUCUUGACUAUGAAUCCCAGCGAUCCGGGUUCAAAUCACCGUAGGAGCU